AUUGAUCGCUGGCGGCAGGCCUAACACAUGCAAGUCGAGCGAGCGGCGGACGGGUGAGUAACGUAUGGGGACUGCACGAUAGAGGGGGAUAACUAUUGGAAACGGUGGCUAAUACCGCAUAAUAUAUGCUACCCCAUAUGGGAUUAGCUAGUAGGUGGGGUAAAGGUUCACCAAGGCGACGAUCUCUAGCUGGUCUGACAGGUGGACCAGCCACACUGGGACUGAGACACGGCCCGAACUCCUACGGAGGCAGGAGGGGGGAAUAUUGCACAAUGGGCGCAAGCCUGAUGCAGCGACGCCGCGUGGGGGAUGAAGGCCUUAGGGUUGUAAAGUACUUUCAGCGGGGAGGCGUUACCCGCAGAAGAAGCACCGGCUAACUCCGUGCCAGCCGCCGCGGUAAUAC
rnacentral:rRNA from 1 species